UACGAAGGGGGCUAGCGUUGCUCGGAAUCACUGGGCGUAAAGCGCACGUAGGCGGCUUGUUAAGUCAGGGGUGAAAUCCUGGAGCUCAACUCCAGAACUGCCUUUGAUACUGAGGAUCUUGAGUACGGGAGAGGUGAGUGGAACUGCGAGUGUAGAGGUGAAAUUCGUAGAUAUUCGCAAGAACACCAGUGGCGAAGGCGGCUCACUGGCCCGUAACUGACGCUGAGGCACGAAAGCGUGGGGAGCAAACAGG
rnacentral:rRNA from 1 species